AUUAAGUUAGUUUAAAAAAAAUAUUAAUUUGUGGAAUUAAAGAUUAAUUUUUUAAUUUAAUA
rnacentral:tRNA from 1 species